AGGGUUCGAUUAUGGCUCAGGAUGAACGCUGGCGGCGUGCUUAACACAUGCAAGUCGAGCGAAGCAGUUAAGAAGAUUCUUCGGAUGAUUCUUGAUUGACUGAGCGGCGGACGGGUGAGUAACGCGUGGGUAACCUGCCUCACACAGGGGGAUAGCAGUUGGAAACGGCUGAUAAUACCGCAUAAGCGCACAGUACCGCAUGGUACAGUGUGAAAAACUCCGGUGGUGUGAGAUGGACCCGCGUCUGAUUUGCUUGUUGGCAGGGUAACGGCCUGCCAAGGCAACGAUCAGUAGCCGACCUGAGAGGGUGACCGGCCACAUUGGGACUGAGACACGGCCCAG
rnacentral:rRNA from 1 species